AAGUCGUAACAAGGUUUCCGUAGGUGAACCUGCGGACGGAUCAUUAACCCGUAUCCAACGUUAAACACCCCUGUGAACCUUGAACGUGCUCUCGCACACGCUCUAGCAGCAAUCCCUGGUAAAUCAUUGUUGACCAGCUAUUGAGUCAGGGACCUCUGCUUUAAAACGAUGCGAUACGAGCGCCAGAGUAAGUGUGGCCUGGCAUCCUAGCAAUCUGUCAGUGGUUGCGCAAGGAUGGCGCAGUAAACGAUCGCUGUAGGCCCACACGGCCGGCGACCGGGCCUCUGUGCUUCGGCACCUAACGACCCCAUGUUUCGUACCCGGUGCGCUGUAACAACCGCACCAUAAACUCGAACAACUGUUAACAAUGGAUAUCUUGGUUCUC
rnacentral:misc_RNA from 1 species